rnacentral:rRNA from 1 species
AUCCUGGCUCAGAACGAACGUUGGCGGCGUGCUUAACACAUGCAAGUCGAGCGCGAAUCCUUGCUUCGGCGAGGUAGUAGAGCGGCGAACGGGUGAGUAACACGUGAGUAAUCUACCUUCAAGUUUGGGAUAACGACCCGAAAGGGUUGCUAAUACUGGAUAAGACCACAACGCCCCUGGGCGAUGUGAGAAAAGGCCUCGGUCGCUUGAAGAUGAGCUCGCGUCCCAUUAGCUAGUUGGUAGGGUAAAGGCCUACCAAGGCCACGAUCGGUAGCUGGUCUGAGAGGAUGAUCAGCCACACUGGGACUGAGACACGGCCCAGACUCCUACGGGAGGCAGCAGUGGGGAAUAUUGGACAAUGGGCGCAAGCCUGAUCCAGCAAUGCCGCGUGUGUGAAGAAGGCCUGCGGGUUGUAAAGCACUUUCAGUGGGGAAGAACAGAUUCGGGUCAAUACCCCGGAGCCCUGACGUUACCCACAGAAGAAGCACCGGCUAACUCCGUG